CCGCUCCCCCGGCCCCGGCCCCUCGGCCCCGGCCCGCGGGUUCGGCCCGGCUCGGAUACAGCGCUCCUGUUCUGGCAAGGGGAGCACGUAGAAGCCUGUGCUCUAAUUCAGAUUCCUGCUCCACGUUUAUCUCAGGAGGUUCAUCCUUAAAGAAGAAAGGAGACACACGGACAGUUUUCAGUGGUGGCUACGUGUGCAUCACCUCACUGAGCACCUCUCCGCAUUGAUCUUAACCACAAGCAUUCUGGGGAUCCCAGCCUGAUUUGCCUCUGACCAUUGCACCCACACCAAUGAAGAAUGAACUUUGAUAAAACUGAACAAGCACAGCUGCACUGAAAUCACAACUGAGUCGAAUGUGUAGCAUGCCAUUGUUCCUGCUUGAAAGACAGUUACCAAGGGUAAAGGCCAAAAGUCAUGGACUAAAUGAAUUCAACAAACUUGUGUGUGUGUGUGUGUGUGUGUGUGUGUGAACAUUUUAUGAAUAUUUGACAGAGGCCUUCCAUAGACAAAGAGAAUGGUGUUUGUAUACCUAUCAAAACAGAUAAAUAGGAAAGGUGAUGAGAUAUUGAGCAAUGUGAAAGUUGGCAUGACAUAAAUGGUAUGGAGUAAAGGGUAGAUAUUGUCGUGGUUUCAGCUAGGGUAGAGUUAAUGUCUUCCCAGUCACUGUUACAGUGCUGUGUUUGGAAUGAGAACGGUGUGGAUAAUGCACUGAUGAUCUGGGUUUUCCUACGUCAUGUUUAUGCCAAGUCAAGGACUCUUUUUUUCCCCUUUUCUCAUGCUCUGCCAGUGUGGAGAUACACAAGAGAAACUGGGAGGAAGCAGGGGCAGGACAGGUGAUCUGAGGGAUAUUCCACACCACAGAACAUCAUGCCCGGGAUAUAAAUUGGGGGGACUUACUUAGAAGAGUGACUGAUCUGGGCUGGGGAAGGGGGGUCAGGAAUUGGUCAGUGGGUGGUGAGCAACUGCACUGUGCUUCACUUUCCCUGAAAUUCACAUUUCCUUAUAAUUAUUUAAAAUUAUUAUUGAAUUUUACUUAGUUUUCAAUUAUUAAACUGCUCUUAACAUGCAAGUUUUACUUCAACUCUCCUCUCCAUUCCACCAGGAUGGGAGAGGAGAGGGGAGGGAGUUGAAUGAGCGGCUGCAUGGUGUUUAAUUUCCAUCUGGGUGUAAACCACAACAACAGCACACCAGUUAAAAUUUUUAAAUAAGUAAAAGUUGCCCAUAUCCAUCACAGAAUCAGUUUUCAAGGAGAUAUAACAAACUUUAUAAGACCAGAUGGUGCAAUUAAGAAAAAAGAAGCCUGGGUACAAUGUAAAAAAUGAACAUUUCUCAUUUGGGACAAUAAAUACAUUAGUUCUACUUUGUCUUUAAACAAAUUCUGAAAAUUAAGGUUGUCAGAACUGACAUUGAAUUUCUCAUUUCACCUAAAAGAAAUGUGU